AUGGAGGUGGGCGGCGACUCUCAGGCCCGCGGCGACCGCGCGCCCCAGAUCAGCGACGACGAAGACGAGAUCAUCUACUACUGCGCGUUCUCUGAGCCCGAGUCUGACUCCGACGCGCCCCGCCCCAGGCCCGACUACAACAAGCCCAUCCAGUUCGUCCCCGCUCGCACGGUGUUCCAGCAGCCGGACGGAGAGAUGAAGCAGGUGCUGGAGCGGGCGCACGCGAAGGCCGAGCGCCGCCGCCAGCGUGAGUUGGCCGCCGCGGCGGAGGGGAUCGUCAAGCGGCCCAAGAUCACCAUCCGCCGCUCCUUCGCGGGGGCUCAGCGCCUCAAGGGACCCCAGAUCCCCCGUCUCUACGGUCAUAUCAAGAAGCGCCUGCCAGAUCAACCCACUGCUCUCUGA
rnacentral:rRNA from 1 species